rnacentral:rRNA from 1 species
GGACUUAGUGGCGGACGGGUGAGUAACACGUGGGAACGUGCCCUUUGGUACGGAAUAACUCAGGGAAACUUGAGCUAAUACCGUAUGUGCCCUUCGGGGGAAAGAUUUAUCGCCAUUGGAGCGGCCCGCGUCUGAUUAGCUAGUUGGUGGUGUAAUGGACCACCAAGGCGACGAUCAGUAGCUGGUCUGAGAGGAUGAUCAGCCACAUUGGGACUGAGACACGGCCCAAACUCCUACGGGAGGCAGCAGUGGGGAAUCUUGCGCAAUGGGCGAAAGCCUGACGCAGCCAUGCCGCGUGAAUGAUGAAGGUCUUAGGAUUGUAAAAUUCUUUCACCGGGGACGAUAAUGACGGUACCCGGAGAAGAAGCCCCGGCUAACUUCGUGCCAGCAGCCGCGGUAAUACGAAGGGGGCUAGCGUUGCUCGGAAUUACUGGGCGUAAAGGGAGCGUAGGCGGACAUUUAAGUCAGGGGUGAAAUCCCGGGGCUCAACCUCGGAAUUGCCUUUGAUACUGGGUGUCUUGAGUAUGAGAGAGGUGUGUGGAACUCCGAGUGUAGAGGUGAAAUUCGUAGAUAUUCGGAAGAACACCAGUGGCGAAGGCGACACACUGGCUCAUUACUGACGCUGAGGCUCGAAAGCGUGGGGAGCAAACAGGAUUAGAUACCCUGGUAGUCCACGCCGUAAACGAUGAUUGCUAGUUGUCGGGAUGCAUGCAUUUCGGUGACGCAGCUA